AGCAUACUUUUACAGAGGUUUUAGUGUAUUUAGAAAAAAACAUAUAUUUUUUUUAAACAUGUACAUUAAUUUUAAUAGGCUAACAUUGCAAUUUCAACAUCAUAUCAUUGAACUUGCAUUAUAUAUUGAUUUCACAAAGUUAGUCCACAUAAAUUUGUUAGUGUUUAUAUUCAAACAACACACGUGACGGACCUGACUAAACCUCAUUGGUUCUUGGGAUUCAGUACGUCACAUUGGCUUCCUGAUUCAGUUGUUCGAUACACAACGUGCGUGAUCGUUGGUAAAUGUGGAUUAAAAGUUGAAACUAAAACUGUUAAAUUAUAUAUAGUGAUCAUCAGAGGACUUGGCUGAAACAACGCGAUUCACAUGGAUUACUUCGGCGAUGUUUUUUAUUGCUGUUGCGAUUAACUUUUUGAAAUGUGAGCAGUUUUUAAGUAGGUUAUCAAGUGGAUCUGACAUCGAGGGGAAAUAUACGUUUCUUGGAUUUCAUUAAAGUACAUCGGUUUUUGUUUGAAGAUGAAUGAGAGAACAUGAGGCACAGCUGCAUUCAAAUUGACCAAUCAGAGCCGAGAAUAUCUAAUAAGUCGAAGUAGAGAUGAACAGAUGAAGAUACAGCCCGUAAAAAUACUUAUUCUUGGUGAGUGCCAUGUAGCGACGGAUCAAACGGACACUCAUGUCAAGCUUGAUGAGGACACAGUCAAAGCUUUAAAAGACCUUGUGAUUAAGUCUUCAGUGUCUGAAUGGCAAGAAGAAGUGACCACCCUCCACUUAAACGUGACAUUUAAACUUCUCUGUGUUUUGGUUCAGCCAUUUGUAGGUUUA